rnacentral:rRNA from 1 species
AAGUCGAGCGGCAGGGUGCAGCAAUGCAUUUGAGAGCGGCGGACUGGUGAGUAACGCGUGGGUGACCUGCCCCAAGGCUGGGGAUAGCCGUUAGAAAUAGCGGGUAAUACCGAAUGUGGUUGUUUCGCUGUGGCGGGACAAAGAAAGGAGCUACGGCUCCGCCUUGGGAUGGGCCCGCGUCCCAUUAGGUAGUUGGUGUGGUAACGGCGCACCAAGCCUGAGAUGGGUAGCCGGCCUGAGAGGGUGAACGGCCACACUGGGACUGAGAUACGGCCCAGACUCCUACGGGAGGCAGCAGCUAAGAAUAUUCCGCAAUGGACGAAAGUCUGACGGAGCGACGCCGCGUGGAUGAGGAAGGCCGAAAGGUUGUAAAAUCCUUUUGCCGUCGAAGAAUAAGCGGGGUAGGGAAUGACCCUGUGAUGACGAUAGGCGGCGAAUAAGCCCCGGCUAAUUACGUGCCAGCAGCCGCGGUAACACGUAAGGGGCGAGCGUUGUUCGGAAUUAUUGGGCGUAAAGGGCGCGUAGGCGGUCAGGCGAGCCUGGCGUGAAAUGGCAGGGCUCAACCCUGUCACGGCGCUGGGAACUGUAUGACUUGAGUCAUGGAGGGGGAGUUGGAAUUCCGCGUGUAGGGGUGAAAUCUGUAGAUAUGCGGAAGAACACCGGUGGCGAAGGCGAACUUCCAGCCAAUGACUGACGCUGAGGCGCGAAA